ACCGCAUCUCAUUUAUCAGACGGCAUUGCCGUCUUACGGGCUUCUCAUCGGAAGCAAAGGAUUGAAAGGGUAAACAUAACAUCUACACACUGCAGUCUCCUUACUUUGUGCAUGCAGAGAAGGAAUUUUUACUCAUACAAAUCGGGCGCAUAAAAACAGAUUUGAAAUUACUGGUUAUGAGAGAAACUAAUGACAACAGAGUCAGGGCGGCUAGGUGGUCUAGUGGAGUAAGUCUCCGGUAAAGCAUCGCUAGAUACCGGGUUUGAUUCCUGGAUCCGUCGUGAAUUUUUCAAAAUCACCGGUUGUUCAAAUUUA
rnacentral:lncRNA from 1 species